ncrna:unclassified sequences DTF3800-VIII RNA
GAAGCCCUGCACGCUGUGAAGUCCCAGGUUCCACCUGGGAUACGAAACUACAGAAAUUUCAUAGCAGCUGCGGGGCUUU